GGAAGAGAAUACAACUGUUCACCACCCGCUAACCAUUACCCAGCCCGAACAAGCACUGAUCUAGCCCUUCCAGGUAACUGCCCCUAGUUUAUAUACUGUGACGAGGUGGCUGAGUGGUGAAGGCGAUGGACUGUUAAUCCAUUGUGUUCUGCCUGCACGGGUUCAUAUCCCAUCCUGGUCGCCAAACAAGCUCAAAGUCCAGUUGUAGGAGAACGUAGGGUAGUCAAGCUUCCAGGACUAAAGACACAUCCAAGUGAGGUGCUGCACGUGGCAGUCUGCUGUUCUUU
rnacentral:sRNA from 14 species